rnacentral:ncRNA from 2 species
UAAAUAUCUAGAGUGCGGGGAGGGAACUAGCCCGGUGAACCGCCGGCAACCUUAGGGAAAUCCGCCUGAAAGGUGCCAAUUCUAGCCGAAGGGAAAGAUAUGGG